GAUGAACGCUAGCGGCAGGCUUAACACAUGCAAGUCGAGGGGUAACAGGGAAGCUUGCUUCCGCUGACGACCGGCGCACGGGUGCGUAACACGUAUGGAAUCUGCCCUUUACUGGGGAAUAGCCCGGAGAAAUCCGGAUUAAUGCCCCAUACUAGACGAGAUGGCAUCAUCUUGUCUUGAAAGCUCCGGCGGUAAAGGAUGACCAUGCGCACGAUUAGUUUGUUGGUGAGGUAACGGCUCACCAAGACUACGAUCGUUAGGGGGCCUGAGAGGGUUAUCCCCCACACUGGUACUGAGACACGGACCAGACUCCUACGGGAGGCAGCAGUGAGGAAUAUUGCGCAAUGGAGGCAACUCUGACGCAGCCAUGCCGCGUGCAGGAAGAAGGCGCUACGCGUUGUAAACUGCUUUUAAUCGGGAAGAACCCCGGGAGUGUCCCGGGUUGACGGUACCGAUGGAAUAAGCACGGCUAACUUCGUGCCAGCAGCCGCGGUAAAGUCAG
rnacentral:rRNA from 1 species